UACGGAGGUGGCAAGCGUUGCUCGGAAUCACUGGGCGUAAAGGGCGCGUAGGCGGGGAGGUAAGUCGGGUGUGAAAUCCCUCGGCCCAACUGAGGAACUGCGCCCGAGACUGCUUCUCUUGAGUCCCGGAGAGGAAGAUGGAAUUCCCGGUGUAGCGGUGAAAUGUGUAGAGAUCGGGAGGAACACCGGUGGCGAAGGCGGUCUUCUGGACGGUGACUGACGCUGAGGCGCGAAAGCGUGGGGGGCAAACAGG
rnacentral:rRNA from 1 species